rnacentral:rRNA from 1 species
CGGGGUGCAGCAGGCGCGAAAACUUUACAAUGCGGGAAACCGUGAUAAGGGGACACCGAGUGCCAGCAUCAUAUGCUGGCUGUCCAGGUGUGUAAAAUACACCUGUUAGCAAGGGCCGGGCAAGACCGGUGCCAGCCGCCGCGGUAACACCGGCGGCCCGAGUGGUGAUCGUGAUUAUUGGGUCUAAAGGGUCCGUAGCCGGUUUGGUCAGUCCUCCGGGAAAUCUGACGGCUCAACCGUUAGGCUUUCGGGGGAUACUGCCAGGCUUGGAACCGGGAGAGGUAAGAGGUACUACAGGGGUAGGAGUGAAAUCUUGUAAUCCCUGUGAGACCACCUGUGGCGAAGGCGUCUUACCAGAACGGGUUCGACGGUGAGGGACGAAAGCUGGGGGCACGAACCGGAUUAGAUACCCGGGUAGUCCCAGCCGUAAACGAUGCUCGCUAGGUGUCAGGCGUGGCGCGACCGUGUCUGGUGCCGCAGGGAAGCCGUGAAGCGAGCCACCUGGGAAGUACGGCCGCAAGGCUGAAACUUAAAGGAAUCGGCGGGGGAGCACAAGGGCAAUUCGCG